ACCUGCCCUAUGAAUUUAAAAGUUUAAAUGGCUGCGGUAUUUUGACCGUGCAAAGGUAGCAUAAUAAUUAGUUUCUUAAUUAGGAACUGGUAUGAAUGGUCGAACGAGAAAAAGACUGUCUCAAUUUAAUUUAAAUUAGAAUUUUAUUUUUAAGUUAAAAAGCUUAAAUUAUUUUAAAAGACGAGAAGACCCUAUAGAGUUUUAUAAAUAUAUUAUUAUUUGGAAGUUAAAGGAUUAUAGAUUUGAAUAAUAAUUUCUUUAUUUGGUUGGGGCGAUUAAAAAAUUGAAUAAACUUUUUUUAAAAUUAUAACAUUGAUAUAUGAGUAAGUGAUCCAUUUAUUAUGAUUAUAAGAUU
rnacentral:rRNA from 1 species